UGAAUGUGGCGGCACGUGCCUGUAAUCCCAGCUACUUGGGAGGCUGAGGCAGGAGAAUCACUUGAACCUGGGAGGCGGAGGCUGCAGUGAGCCAAGAUCGCGCCACUGCACUCCAGCCUGGGCUACAGCGUGAGACUCUGUGUCUCAAACAAACAAACAAACAAAGUUUGAAACCACUGUGUUCAUCUCACACCUUGCAGAGAGAUAUAUGCCCAGGAUGGGGCUGAAUAAAAAGCUAAUAAUAAUAGCCACCACCUGUGGAGAGCUUCUCUUGGACCACGCAUUCUGCUAAGUCCUUCUCUUGUAUGAGGACCAGUUGUGCCCAGAGAACCUUCUCUGUCUCCUCUAACCAUGGGAUAAAAGGAGAUUUCCACAAGAGCGGCUCAGGGACGCAGCCCAUCUCUUAAGAAGGAGGCUCUGAGAGGGACAAGACCAUGGAUGCAGCACAUGGCCACAAGGCAGUUUCAAGAUGCCCAUGUCAGGCAGAGGAUGGCUCAGUGGUCUCUAACCCACCUAACAUUUCAUGAACUUUACUCCUGGUCCCGCUCCCAAAUUAGACACUGGAGAUAAUGGAUCACUAUACUGCACUGAAGACUCGGAGGGGUUGAGCCGCUGGAGCCACGCAAAUUCAGACACCUCUUCCGCCCCAGGUCACUCUACUCGCCCACGCUGCCUGCCACACCCAUCCGGUUGUGCGGGACACUCCCCGCGUUUCUUCAGCGAUUCUUAUCGGGCUCCCUCCUUGUUCAAUAAAGGUGUCAUUUCUGAGCAGGGAAGGUGUGAUCUGGGGCCAGAAUGAAUGGCCCUGGUGACUUCUUACCUGAUUCAUCCCACACCAGUCAGAAGGGGCUGUGAAGGCAGCAGCGAAGGAGCCACACAUGGACGUGGAAUGGGCACGCUGACCAUCAUGGUCACGACUGCAAGAAAGCAGGGCUGCGUGGGUUAAUUGGCUGUGUCUGAGGGUCACCCCUGCACAAGGAGGAUGAUGACGACUGCCCUGUGCAACCCUGGGUCAUCUCAGGGGAGAGCCAUUCCCAGGUUCACAGCAAGCACUCUUUUACUCAGAUGGGCCACCUGCAUCAGGCCCCAAGGAAGCACUUAUUAGUAGAAGAAAAAAAACAAAAACCCAGAAAACAGCCAGUGAGACUAUUUUACAAACAAGCGAAGAGCAGCAACUGAAAGCAACAAUAACUACAACAUAAAUCCCUCUGCAAAUAUUUGGGAUUUCAUUUCCACUAAGGAUAAUGAUGGCGUAGAAGGCAUGUCUGUGGGAGUUAUGCACACAGGGAAAAAGGUGGUGAAAAUAAUCAACCAAAAAUAACAAAAUUCAAUUAAUCAAAACAGAACAAAAUAAAAUGAGCCAAACAGCAUAUCUGAAUAUAAGCAUAAUAAUUGUCGUUGGACAAACCUUUGUCAAAUCAAAUUGGCUUCUAGCACACGGGCUGAUACUUUGUGAUUCAAGUGGUGUUCUACCCACAUAAUUCAUUUAGUUGCAAAGAAUGUAACAAAUAAUGCAAUUAUUCCAGAGGAUCACGGUGAGACAUCUAUUUGGUGGUGCCUUAAGCAGAGUGCCCUGAUUCAGAAGAAUUAGACCAAUCUCUGGAUUCACAGCCACUCAUGAAAACUGUAGGCCGGGCACGGUGGCUCAUGCCUGUAAUCCCAGCACUUUGGGAGGCCAAGGCGGGUGGAUCACGAGGUCAGGUGAUCGAGACCAUCCUGGCUAACAUGGUGAAACCCCGUCUCUACCAAAAAUACAAAAAGAAAUUAGCUGGGAGUGGUGGCGGGCACCUGUAGUCCCAGCUACUCGGGAGGCUGAGGCAGGAGAAUCGCUUGAACCCAGGAGGUGGAGGUUGCCGUGAGCCGAGAUCACGCUACUGCACUCCAAUCUGGGUGACCGAGCAAUACUCCGUCUAAAAAAAAAAAGUAAUAAUAAUAAUAAAAUAGGAAACUGCAGUAACUCGGGACAUCUGGGUUCCUUGUCUUUUGUCAAAAUCACAGGGAAUUCAACUCACUGAAUCUAUUGGUCAAUUCAAUUCCGCCAUUGGUCAGUAUGACUCGGCUUUUGACAGAGAGUUUUACCCAAAGACUUGCAGAACUUCCUUCCUGCAAGAUUUCAGAAGCACAGCAAGCAUUGCAAGAGGAAACUACCUUAUAAAUCAUACAAACCCAGCAUCGUGUUCUUUGCUUGUCCUUGCCUGAAUUUACUGGAAAAUCAUGUUGUGAAACCUAAAUGCAAAUGAACCUUUCUUAUUGCAAAUUAAAAACUAAAUCCAUUUUCAACUGAAUUCAAUGGGAAAAACAAGAAUUAUUUUCCUAAAAAGUAAAUAUCCACCACUCCGUAAUAAUUGUGAUCCGCUGUGGCUUAUGUGUCGUGUCUCAGGACAUGGACUCGGUCCUCUGCAUACCUUACCUCUCAUCCUGCAAUAAUCCUGAACAGGUUCCCAUUAUCCCCAUUUUAGAGGAUUACAGCACAAUUUGUAGCUGGAGUGCUUCUGAAUUGCGAGAAAGCCCU
rnacentral:lncRNA from 1 species